rnacentral:rRNA from 1 species
UACAGAGGGGGCAAGCGUUGUUCGGAAUUACUGGGCGUAAAGGGCGCGUAGGCGGCCUUCUAAGUCGAACGUGAAAUCCCCGGGCUCAACCCGGGAACUGCGUCCGAUACUGGAAGGCUUGAAUCCGGGAGAGGGAUGCGGAAUUCCAGGUGUAGCGGUGAAAUGCGUAGAUAUCUGGAGGAAUACCGGUGGCGAAGGCGGCAUCCUGGACCAUUACUGACACUGAUCCGCGAAGGCUAGGGGAGCAAACGGG